rnacentral:lncRNA from 1 species
GAUCCUAGAAGCUCAAAAAAGUGUGUGUCUUGGUAAUGUUUGUAGAAUGCAUAAGUGACAGCCCUGUUUCUGACUUCAUGUGUAUUUUAUUUGGCUAUUUUUUUUUUUAAUUUUCAGAAAAAGGGAAAAAAGGGAAACAUGAGCUAAUGUUCAUUCUUCUAGCAUUUACUUUGUGCUACACAUUACACUAAGUGUUUUUCAUAUAUGGCUGCAUUUACUUUAUAAAAUAGUAUUGCUUAAUCACAGUGCUUUUCCCUACUUGGAGCUCAAAUGUGCUACUAUUAAUAGCAUAUUAUUAUUGUCACUUGUCUCAUCCAAGAACAAAGUCUUCCCUUCUUUUCUUUCCCUUUCUCUCUUGCUUAUAUCCCAGCACCAUGAGAUGUAAUUCUAAUGUGUAGUGCAUACAUUUAUUUGCACAGAUGUGCUACUGCAAAAUGUGUGCUGCUGUUGUGCCUGCCUUCAUUCUAACUGAUGUGUGGGUGAUUUUUUUUUUUUUUGUUACUGGGGAUUGAACUUGGGAUCACUGAUCCACACCCCAGCUCUAUUUUGUAUUUUAUUUACAGACAGGGUCUCACUGAGUUGCUUAGCACCCAGGUUUUGCUGAGGCUGGUUUUGAACUCGCGAUCCUCCUGCAUCAACCUCCUGAACUGCUAGGAUUACAAGCAUGUACCACUGCACCCAGCCAUGUGCAUGAUUUGCUUGUCUCAUUUUACUUCUUUAUUCACGCAACACUGUUUUAAAAAUCCUUAUGUGUUGUUCUGUGUGCACGAGUGGAUUACUUCUAACAGUUGACUAAUGCUGCAUUAUGUGCCUGUGCCUCAGUUUACCAUGCCACUCCCCAGGGGUGGCAGAGCAGUGCCCAUCCUAAUGCAAGCCUUUCAAAGAUCUGAGGGUGGGAAUUCCUGUGAGAUACAUAUCUGGGAUUUCUCACCAGGCAAUUGAGCAACAGCAUAAGUGUUCUGAUGGAGGCAAACCCACUGUUCCCCAGAAUGGCUGCCCGGAAUCGGGCCAGGGCCCUGCAGCACCCUAAGCUUCCCUAAAUACUCAUCUCAGCCACAGUGGGAUUAUCCAGCUUUCUAAUUUAUUUUUGUCCUAUUAGUCUAAAAUACAACCUUGUCAUUGCUUUAAUUGGAUAUUUUGAUAACCAGAUCAUUUGAACCUUUUAAAGGCCUUGGCCCCUAAUGCUUCCUAUUGAGGUCUUUUGACUGGUUCUUAAGGAUCUGUGGGAGAGUCACAGAUGUCCUGUUAGUCCCAUUUCUAGAUAUGCAGAGAAUGACUUGGCAAGAUUAAGUGACUCCUUGGAGGUCAUGAGAGCAAGCUGUGAAGCAGACAUUUGAACACAAUACUAUUCCUCUGCAAAGCUGGACAUUAGGGACAGCAUGUUGUCUAUUCAUCUUGACCUUGUAUUUCUUAACCUUGGUCAUUAGAUAAGAAAACUGUGGGGUUUCAAUUGUUAAAUAACUCUUCAGCCAAUGAAAAGAUGAUUACCCAAAGCAAAAGCAAAUGGGCU